CAUGGAAGCAAACGCCAGUAAAGGUAGCAGCAGCUAGUUGGUGAUGUUAUCGCCCCUGUUAGAGUCCAUCUGCAGCCAGGACCACGAUUAGGAGAGGGGGAAAUCAUUUUAACUUGGCGCACGCAGCAGCAAAGGGUCCCUAAUGCCUCAUGGCUCUCUGCAAAGACAGCCUGUGAAACCUAUCUGUAAUUGCUGAAGGGAAAAAAUGCGGGGUUAUCCACACCACGCUGCCUUACCUCUGCGCAGUAAACUCCCAAUUACCAAAUCUACGUGGUGGCUGAACUCGGGGGAAUUACACUGUACUUUGAAGCAGCUUUUACGGUACACUUCAUCUACGUUUUAGUUUUCUUUAGUUCUCAUUAAAAGGCCACUUUCUUCUUUUCA